AUUGAACGCUGGCGGCAGGCUUAACACAUGCAAGUCGAGCGAGCGGCGGACGGGUGAGUAAUGUCUGGGAAACUGCCUUAUGGAGGGGGAUCACUACUGGAAACUGUAUCUAAUACCGCAUACCCUCAGAUGUGCCCAGAUGGGAUUGGCUAGGAGGUGGGGUAAUGGCUCACCUAGGCGACGAUCCCUAGCGGGUCUGAGAGGAUGACCAGCCACACUGGAACUGAGACACGGUCCAGACUCCUACGGGAGGCAGCAGUGGGGAAUAUUGCACAAUGGGCGCAAGCCUGAUGCAGCCAUGCCGCGUGUGUGAAGAAGGCCUUCGGGUUGUAAAGCACUUUCAGCGAGGAGGCGUUACUCGCAGAAGAAGCACCGGCUAACUCCGUGCCAGCAGCCGCGGUAAUUC
rnacentral:rRNA from 1 species